UACAGAGGUCUCAAGCGUUGUUCGGAUUCAUUGGGCGUAAAGGGUGUGUAGGUGGCGCCGUAAGUCGGGUGUGAAAUUUCGGAGCUUAACUCCGAAACUGCAUUCGAUACUGCGGUGCUUGAGGACUGGAGAGGAGACUGGAAUUUACGGUGUAGCGGUGAAAUGCGUAGAUAUCGUAAGGAAGACCAGUGGCGAAGGCGGGUCUCUGGACAGUUCCUGACGCUGAUGCGCGAAAGCGUGGGGAGCAAACGGG
rnacentral:rRNA from 1 species